UGAAACCAGACUAAGCCAGAGACUUUCCUUCAUUUGUAAAUCAGCUUCAGUUGAGCUGUGCUGAUUCACAGCAUUAUUAUUUUUGUUGUUGGUGCUUGCAUGACUGAAGAACCCACAGAUCCCAACUGAGAUAGGAAUCAGUUGUGCUAGGUGUUGUAUGAAUUAAAAUCUAGAGGAAAUAUUUCUUCCAAAGAGUUCACAAGCUAAUUAGAUGAGAGAAACCAUAUGGGAGGAAAGUACCAAAAAGGCAGAGACAUGUUUGCUCUGUCACUCAGAAGAUCAGUGCCUCAGCUGGAAAAAAACUCCAGAUAUCCAGAUGCUCAGAUCACUGCUCAAGCCACUACACUAAGCAGCACUGCCAGGAAAAAUGUUGCAAAGGGAGAAGCAGCAGUUACUGAAAGUAAGAAGCUGAAAAACUACGAAGAUCCCGUUUUGCCAAUCCACAGCCAUCAAUUAACACAUUACUAAAACACUUCCCAGAAAAAGCAGUCGCUAAUGUGUGCGUCUGUCCUUGUAUGCAUUGUCUCACCAACCUGAGAAGAUUUCCACAGCUAUGUCACUGUUUAGUCAAAGGCUUUCAAGGUCAAAUUAGCCCAUGGUCAUGUCAUGGUGAGCUCCAAAGAACUCCUUUGGUCAUUUCAUCCCUACCCAUGUGGAGGAAGGGGAAGUGAAACUGUUAACUGUUGUCAAGCAGGAUGAAAACAUCAUUCCUUUGGCUCACUAGCUGUUCUCACAUAGGAAAUCCUAAAUGUGUGGUUUUCUUAAU
rnacentral:lncRNA from 1 species